GCGCACGCUGGCGGCAGGCUUCACCCCUGCAAGUCGCGCGGGCAUAGCAAUAUGUCAGCGGCAGACGGGUGAGUAACGCGUGGGAACGUACCUUUUGGUUCGGAACAACUGAGGGAAACUUCAGCUAAUACCGGAUAAGCCCUUACGGGGAAAGAUUUAUCGCCGAAAGAUCGGCCCGCGUCUGAUUAGCUAGUUGGUGAGGUAAUGGCUCACCAAGGCGACGAUCAGUAGCUGGUCUGAGAGGAUGAUCAGCCACAUUGGGACUGAGACACGGCCCAAACUCCUACGGGAGGCAGCAGUGGGGAAUAUUGGACAAUGGGCGCAAGCCUGAUCCAGCCAUGCCGCGUGAGUGAUGAAGGCCCUAGGGUUGUAAAGCUCUUUUGUGCGGGAAGAUAAUGACGGUACCGCAAGAAUAAGCCCCGGCUAACUUCGUG
rnacentral:rRNA from 1 species